rnacentral:lncRNA from 1 species
GUGUCAUGCAAGAAGGAGGCGGCGGCGGCGGCCGGAGCUGGAGGGGGAGGAGGGGAGGAACCUGAUCCUCGGUAGCGAAGGGCUGGAGGCAAACACCGAGCUCCCCCUGAGCCGCCUGGGAGCAGGGAGGGUUCUGCUACCCUGAGGGGCCCUCCCCGCGGGGCAGAGGGGUUUCCUCAGCAGUGCCCCGGAGCAGGGACCGCGCCAGCCAGCAGAAACAGCUAGUUGUUGUCUGCAGUGAAGAAUAAUUGGAAGCAUGGUGCCUGUUUCUUUUCCUGUGGGAGGAAGUCACAGCAUCUACUUCUGAAUCUGUGCUUGCCUUGAGGAAAAACGGCAUGGCACAGGAAUGUGGACGCUUUCAACCAGAGGAUUCUGUACGACGGUGUCGGCACACACUCAUCCUCGUCUACGGCCAAACGUUGGUUUCUCAUUUCUAGAAGAUGAAAGAUGUGAUGACUCAGGAAAAACUUGCUGCUCGAGAUGUGAGUCUUCAGAUGUUCCUGCCGCCAUAUCUGACAGCUGCUGCCAAGAUUCCCUGGUGGGAUGGACUCUUAUACCUCAACAACCAGAAGCCCAAGUAAACUCUUCUAUAAAUUGAAUGACUCAUGCUUAAAAAAAAAAACAAAAAACAAA